CACACAAACAAGAUGGCAGCUCUCAGAAUGAGACAUUUUGACUUCAGUUUUGCACAGCAGUAGGAAGUGGACACACGUUGUCCAUAUUUGUAUACAGUCAGUGGUUGGAAGCAGGAAGUGAACAGCAGUCUCCAAGUCUACUGCGUCCGCUCUUUGCAAGUUAGGAUCUAACCAACCGCCCAACCCGCCACCUCUGAAUAUGGAAAUUUGGUUCUUUGAAAGUCACAUCCCACACAGUGAGUGGGAGCCUGUUUGGUGCCCCACCCUGCAACCCUGAACACCUCCCAGGGCCAGUCCAUCAUGGUCUGUCUGAUGCAGGGAGAGACAUCAAUAAUAAGAGCUGAAGCAGAAACCACAGUCGAGAACACAAAAGAGAGAGGGAGGGCAGGCGCAGGCCACAACUGGCUCUGCUGCAGGCUGGAGUGGGCAGGCGUGUGGCUUUGGCCACAGGAAGCUGUGAAUUCUUUGGAGAAUGGAAGAUGUCUUAUGGGGAGACAUACUGGCCCCCCACCCACCCACUCACCACCCCAAAAUGACCCCUGACCCAUUCAUGUGUUUAUAUCAGACCAUGGAAGUGAGAAAUAGUGAUGAGUCACUCUGGCUGUGUGUUUACACUCCGGAGUCACGCAAGGAAGGAAAUCAGCCACGGUCUGCUAAAAGUGGCGAGGUGAGAGAGAAUAGCUGCAGUCCCCCAGCGCUGCAGAGAUUUACCUCUCAAAGCCAGAAUUUAUUUCACGUCAUCUCUGCCGCAAAGACUUUCAACCAACAGAAAACAGCAACAUUAGCAGCGCAGUAGACUGUUGUCGAGGAAAAGGCGACUGUGAUUGCAGCUGAGGCCAAAACAAGUGGUAGUUACUGAGAACUGCUUUAAUUGCCUCCAUACUGAUAAUAUGAAGAGAUAAACACCAAAAGUAAGCAGUAGGAUUCAUCAACUGAGAGGACAUGUAUAAACUGAAUUUAAAAAACAUACCAUAAAUUUUGAUUUUCACAUCAUCAACAGUGUUGAUCACAUCCAGACAGGUAAAACACACACAUCUCCCCAAAACUGUACCAAAACAUAUUUUUUUCUCAGCUUAAUAAUUAUGCAUUUUGAUGUAGAUUUGUUUUGUCAGUGUUACAGAAAUUAGUUUUUCUCAGAAAAGAUAUACAUAUGUAAUAUACAAGAUAAAAUAAUUUCAAUUUAAUCACAAAAUUAAUUUUCCUGACAGUGACUUUCCACAAAAAAAUGCCAAAUUAUCAUCAUUCAAUUUAAAUGCCUAACUAAAGCCUAACAAAUUAUUGCACAACCUUUUAAUGUCUGCCUCAAAGCUCAAAGGCCAUGAUAUUUUAUCUGAAUUAUGUGUAAUAUUUAUAUAUUACAUUAUAUAAAAUUCAAGUAAUUUUAAGAAAGCAAGUCACCUAACAUCCCCAGUGAUCUCUGUGUUCAUUACAAAUAUUUUAUAAAAGUGAAAGUUUUUAGAAAUCUCAAAUUCACUGUAAUUUUGGUUGAUUUUGAACUGAGUCCAUAUUUAAAGAGGUAGAUAUGGCACUUGGAUCAUGCUGUCUUUUCCAGUCUUUUUAUAUGAAAAUUAAGGUGCAACAGUAUGUUUGAUAUGAUAUGUGUGAAUGGCUGAACUUAUCAUUGAUAUAUGAACCACGCUGGACAUGUAUUGCGUUGUGCUCUGGAGGACUUUAUGUUCAGUACAGUGAGGUGUGUUUACUGUGGCUAAGACCAGUGUUUCAAACACAGUGUCAUUGUUGUCCUCCGUGCUGAGUGACUUUAGAUUUACGAUUGCACAACUGUUGUUUUCAAGAGACAGCUGUAGUUACUGCAGCUAUGCUCUGUAAAUAUAAGUGACACUUUAUUUCUUUCCGUCAUUACAUUGGUGCAAGUAACUUCAUCGCUGACUGUAGCGAGUAUCCUGUUACACACCCCCGUACACACACACGCACAGCCACAAUGAGAGAGUCAGCAGCUCUUAUUUUGGCUGAUCUCUCCUGAAUUGUAAGUCCUGUCAGGGGCUUUGAUUGAUAGUUGUGUUUAUCACCAUAUUAUUAAGUAAUCAGGCUCACCGCAGCUGGGCCUGAAGCUCCUUAAUUCCAGCUAAAGCACACGGCUUCAUGCUAAUUAAAGGUUUGGUGAAAGUGUUUAUUUUUGUGAAUUUUUAAAAUAUAGUUGUCUGUGUUUUUAUGAGAGUGUGCUGAUUGUUGCAUUUGUAUCCUCUCUGGAACAUUUAGUAGCAACUUUUAGUGGCAUGUAUCUUCAUCAGAAAGAUGCAUCGUCUGUAUGCAGACUGUAAAAAUCUUUCCUCUUAUUACAUGAAGAUUCUGUAGAUACUGUAUGUUUUACAUUAUGGCAAAAACCUGCAAAAUGACCAUUAAAGUAGGCCUAUAUACAGUUUCUGUGUAUAUAAAAUGAGAGAGCCAAUCAGUCUAUGUUCUUUGUAUCAGCAGAGGUUUCUUCUCGCUUCGUUAAUAGAGCCUGCGGCAGGCUGCGUUUGUGUAUUCGUGAGGUAAACACAGUCAUGGCAAAGUGGACAUGCUGCUGAGUGUGUCCUGACUGGAGACAGAGAGCACUGUGGCACUGUACUGACUGAGACACUGUCAGCUCUCUAGAGGUAGGGUUAAUGUGAUGAAUGGCCAUUUGGUAAUGGGCCAUGUAUUAGGGUGAAAUAGCUCUUCUAAAAGCCCGAGCUCGAGCUGUUGCUAUGGACAAUUUAAUUCAGGAAUCAAUCAGGUGGCAGAUGUUUCAUGUUGGAUCAGUCAACUCUGUCUUGCUGUUUCUUUCUGAACCAAAUGAAGGAAGAGUUGCUUGUAAAACUGCUUGUAGCAAUCAAAUGUAACUCUGUGCAGUCAAAAACAUCAGUGAUGCCACACUGUGCUAAAACCUUACACUGACAAAAAUGGACAGUUUUAGGAACUGUAUAAACAAACUAAUUGAUCCCAAAUCAAUCAUAAUUCAUCAUCAUACUUUAUUUUUAGCACUGUGUACUGUAGGCUGUCCUUUGUACCUCCAGACUGUAUGUCCUUCCAGAGUGUCAGCCAGAGAGGAUGUUGCUGUACUUUUCUGUACAUAUAAACAAUCCACCUGUGCCUGUAAUAAUCUGCACUUAUUGUGUUCACACAGGCAAGACUUUGAGUAACACAAUUACAUAAAUGUUUGUGUUCUUUACAUUCAAAUAAAUUAAUUUCUAUCCACAAACAUAAAUACAAAAAUAUGUGACAUGGAAAAAUGUACAGAUUUUCAUAUCACAUCCAGAUAUUUGUAUGUUAUUAAAGCCACCUGUUGAAGUGCAAUAAUUGUAAAAGGUAUAUUACUAUCAUACUGUAUCCCUUCCAUUCCUUGUUAUAUAUUGCAUACUGUACAUUUAGUUUUUUGAAUGACUUUUACCUUGUUCAUAACAUAUUUCACAUUGUUUUAAGUUAUUAAGUUCUGCUGCUA